GAUGAUCCGCCACACUGGGACUGAGACACGGCCCAGACUCCUACGGGAGGCAGCAGUGGGGAAUAUUGGACAAUGGGGGGAACCCUGAUCCAGCCAUGCCGCGUGUGUGAAGAAGGCCUUAUGGUUGUAAAGCACUUUAAGCGAGGAGGAGGCUACUUUAGUUAAUACCUAGAGAUAGUGGACGUUACUCGCAGAAUAAGCACCGGCUAACUCUGUGCCAGCAGCCGCGGUAAUACAGAGGGUGCGAGCGUUAAUCGGAUUUACUGGGCGUAAAGCGUGCGUAGGCGGCUUAUUAAGUCGGAUGUGAAAUCCCCGAGCUUAACUUGGGAAUUGCAUUCGAUACUGGUGAGCUAGAGUAUGGGAGAGGAUGGUAGAAUUCCAGGUGUAGCGGUGAAAUGCGUAGAGAUCUGGAGGAAUACCGAUGGCGAAGGCAGCCAUCUGGCCUAAUACUGACGCUGAGGUACGAAAGCAUGGGGAGCAAACAGGAUUAGAUACCCUGGUAGUCCAUGCCGUAAACGAUGUCUACUAGCCGUUGGGGCCUUUGAGGCUUUAGUGGCGCAGCUAACGCGAUAAGUAGACCGCCUGGGGAGUACGGUCGCAAGACUAAAACUCAAAUGAAUUGACGGGGGCCCGCACAAGCGGUGGAGCAUGUGGUUUAAUUCGAUGCAACGCGAAGAACCUUACCUGGCCUUGACAUACUAGAAACUUUCCAGAGAUGGAUUGGUGCCUUCGGGAAUCUAGAUACAGGUGCUGCAUGGCUGUCGUCAGCUCG
rnacentral:rRNA from 2 species